rnacentral:rRNA from 1 species
CAGCAGCCGCGGUAAUACGUAGGGGGCGAGCGUUGUCCGGAAUUACUGGGCGUAAAGGGUGCGUAGGCGGCCCUUUAAGUCGGAUGUGAAAGCCCGCGGCUUAACCGCGGAAUGGCAUUCGAAACUGGAGGGCUUGAGUGUCGGAGAGGGUAGUGGAAUUCCCAGUGUAGCGGUGAAAUGCGUAGAUAUUGGGAGGAACACCAGUGGCGAAGGCGACUACCUGGACGAUAACUGACGCUGAGGCACGAAAGCUAGGGGAGCAAACAGGAUUAGAUACCCUGGUAGUCCUAGCCGUAAACGAUGGGUACUAGGUGUGGGUGGUUUCGAUACCAUCCGUGCCGUAGUUAACGCAUUAAGUACCCCGCCUGGGGAGUACGUGCGCAAGGAUGAAACUCAAAGGAAUUGACGG